rnacentral:ncRNA from 1 species
UACCUGGUUGAUCCUGCCAGUAGUCAUAUGCUUGUCUCAAAGAUUAAGCCAUGCAAGUCUAAGUACGAGCUCUCGUACAGUGAAACUGCGAAUGGCUCAUUAAAUCAGUUAUGGUUCAUUUGAUCGUACAGUUUACUUGGAUAACUGUGGUAAUUCUAGAGCUAAUACAUGCGAGAAGCGUCGACCUCGCGGGAGGCGUGCAUUUAUCAGACCAAAAACCGGCCGCGUCUUCGGGCGCGUUCGCCUUGGUGACUCUGGAUAACUUUGCGGAUCGCACGGUCUAGCACCGGCGACGGAUCAUUCAAGUGUCUGCCCUAUCAACUUUCGUCGGUACGGUAUUUGCCUACCGAGGUUCUUACGGGUGACGGGGAAUCAGGGUUCGAUUCCGGAGAGGGAGCCUGAGAAACGGCUACCACAUCCAAGGAAGGCAGCAGGCGCGCAAAUUACCCAUUCCCGACGCGGGGAGGUAGUGACGAAAAAUAACAAUGCAGGACUCGUUCGAGGCCCUGUAAUUGGAAUGAGUACACUUUAAAAGCUUUAACGAGUAUCCAUUGGAGGGCAAGUCUGGUGCCAGCAGCCGCGGUAAUUCCAGCUCCAAAAGUAUAUAUUUAAGUUGUUGCGGUUAAAAAGCUCGUAGUUGGAUUUUGGGCGCAGGCGGCCGGUCCGUCGCAAGGCGUGUACUGGACGUCCUGGCCUUCCCUCCGGUUCUCCGCCGGUGCUCUUGACUGAGUGUCGGCGGCGGCCGGAACGUUUACUUUGAAAAAAUUAGAGUGUUCAAAGCAGGCUCUCGAGCCUGGAUAAUGGUGCAUGGAAUAAUGGAAUAGGACCUCGGUUCUAUUUUGUUGGUUUUCGGAGCGCGAGGUAAUGAUUAAGAGGGACAGACGGUGGCAUUCGUACUGUGCCGUUAGAGGUGAAAUUCUUGGAUCGGCGCAAGACGAACGACUGCGAAAGCAUUUGCCAAGAAUGUUUUCUUUAAUCA